rnacentral:rRNA from 1 species
ACUCCUACGGGAGGCAGCAGUGGGGAAUAUUGCACAAUGGGGGAAACCCUGAUGCAGCCAUGCCGCGUGUGUGAAGAAGGCCUUCGGGUUGUAAAGCACUUUCAGUAGGGAGGAAGGUAGUGUAGUUAACACCUGCACUAUUUGUACGUUACCUACAGAAGAAGCACCGGCUAACUCCGUGCCAGCAGCCGCGGUAAUACGGAGGGUGCGAGCGUUAAUCGGAAUUACUGGGCGUAAAGCGCAUGCAGGCGGCCUGUUAAGUCAGAUGUGAAAGCCCGGGGCUUAACCUCGGAAUUGCAUUUGAAACUGGCAGGCUAGAGUCUUGUAGAGGGGUUAGAAUUUCAGGUGUAG